rnacentral:rRNA from 1 species
AUUGAACGCUGGCGGCAGGCUUAACACAUGCAAGUCGAGCGGAGAUGAGGUGCUUGCACCUUAUCUUAGCGGCGGACGGGUGAGUAAUGCUUAGGAAUCUGCCUAUUAGUGGGGGACAACAUUCCGAAAGGAAUGCUAAUACCGCAUACGUCCUACGGGAGAAAGCAGGGGAUCUUCGGACCUUGCGCUAAUAGAUGAGCCUAAGUCGGAUUAGCUAGUUGGUGGGGUAAAGGCCUACCAAGGCGACGAUCCGUAGCGGGUCUGAGAGGAUGAUCCGCCACACUGGGACUGAGACACGGCCCAGACUCCUACGGGAGGCAGCAGGGGGGAAUAUUGGACAAUGGGGGAACCCUGAUCCAGCCAUGCCGCGUGUGUGAAGAAGGCCUUAUGGUUGUAAAGCACUUUAAGCGAGGAGGAGGCUACUGAGACUAAUACUCUUGGAUAGUGGACGUUACUCGCAGAAUAAGCACCGGCUAACUCUGUGCCAGCCGCCGCCGUAAAAC